rnacentral:rRNA from 1 species
GACGAACGCUGGCGGCGUGCUUAACACAUGCAAGUCGAACGGUGAAGGGACCAGCUUGCUGGUUCUGGAUGAGUGGCGAACGGGUGAGUAACACGUGAGUAACCUGCCCCCUUCUUCUGGAUAACCGCAUGAAAGUGUGGCUAAUACGGGAUAUUCUGGGUCUGUCGCAUGGCGGGCCCGGGAAAGAUAUUGCUUCGGUGGGGGAUGGGCUCGCGGCCUAUCAGCUUGUUGGUGGGGUGAUGGCCUACCAAGGCGGUGACGGGUAGCCGGCCUGAGAGGGGGGACGGUCACACUGGGACUGAGACACGGCCCAGACGCCUAGGGGAGGCAGGAGUGGGGAAUAUUGCACGAUGGGCGCAAGCCUGAUGCAGCGACGCCGCGUGAGGGAUGGAGGCCUUCGGGUUGUAAACCUCUUUCGCCAGUGAAGCAGGCCUGCUCCUUGUGGGUGGGUUGACGGUAGCUGGAUAAGAAGCGCCGGCUAACUACGUG